GUCGCAGAAAAAUCUGCGAUCAGGUGUAGGAACCUGCUGGUAAACUUGGCGCAUGCACUAGGCGCCCCCAUCACAACGGCUGGCGUUUUUUUU
rnacentral:sRNA from 1 species